UACAGGGGGUGCAAACGUUGCUCGGAAUCAUUGGGCGUAAAGCGCACGUAGGCGGUUCGUUAUGUCGGAUGUGAAAGCCCUUGGCUUAACCGAGGAAGUGCAUCCGAAACUGGCGAGCUAGAGUACUAAAGAGGAUCGCGGAAUUCCCGGUGUAGAGGUGAAAUUCGUAGAUAUCGGGAGGAACACCGGUGGCGAAGGCGGCGAUCUGGGUAGAUACUGACACUGAGGCGCGAAAGCGUGGGGAGCAAACAGG
rnacentral:rRNA from 1 species